rnacentral:lncRNA from 10 species
CUGUAUUACAUUUUGGAAAAGACAAAACUGUAUAUUACAAGGAUUAAUAUACAACCUCUGGUUACCAGAGGUUGGCGGAGGGUGGGAUAAAUAGAGUACGGAGAAUAAUGACAUGUAUCCACCAUGGCAGUGUUUACACUGGAACUACUCUGUACAACACUGCCAUGAUGGAUACAUGUCAUUACACAUUUGUUAAAACCCAUACAAUGUCCAACAACAAGGGUGGGUAAUAACAAACUCCUCCGAGCUAAGGGAGCAUGUUCUAACCCAAUGCAAGGAAGCUAAGAACCUUGAAAAAUGGUUAGAACAUAGCCUUCACCCAGAACCAUUCGAUUUGGGAAAACUAUGGAACAUGGUUUCAUUUCAUUUUCCAUUCCAAGGGUUCCUCUUGCACAAUGCAAAUCCUCCCUAGGGGCAACUCUAAUCUAAUUCACCUUAUGGAAUAUAUUUCCUUCUGACUGGAGAGACCAACUCACAAAUUCUUACCAUCAGUUCAGAUCUCCCUUAUGAAAUGUAAGAGAACUACUUAUGCUUACUUAUGAAAAGUAAGCGGUGAGAUUAUAUACUCUGUGUCUCUGUAUAAAGAAAAUCAACAUGCCUAAACUAAAUCAAUAGUCUCUCCUCUGCACCCACCCAGGCUACCGAUCCUCCAGUGUCCCUCACUGUAGUAAAUGUCACCACCAUUUAUUGAGUGGAGUAGCAGCAUCUUUUCACCACCUCUGUGUUCUCCACUAGACUUCAAGGUACUUAUGAAGAGGGACUAUGUCUGAGUUUAUGCAUUAUUAUGUUCCUAACACCUGGGAGAAGGUCUGGUACCCAGUUGACUCUUGGUAAGUAUUUGUUGAAUAAAUGAAUGAAUGAAUGAAUAAGUGUUUAAUAAAUAUUUGUUGAAUAAAUGAACAAAUAAGUCCUGAUAAAGAAGUGAAACUGCUGAGUUUAAUUAUUAGUUUCAUUGUUCAGGUGAAACAUUGAGAUGGAGCUGUCACUCCUCUCUACCCCAAGUGAAAGAUGCUGGGGGAAGCAGAAUCAUACUUCAGAAAAAGCCAAUAAUACCAUGUUCUUUAUCAGCCAUUUCUACCUGGAGGAAGAGCAUGCCUGGUCGCUGGAGAAUAAAGUCCUGGAACCAGGCCUGAGUGAAGAGUG